GGGGCCUCCAUGACAAUGGCGGGCGAGCUGGAGAGUUGCAAGUCCCUGAGCGGGCUGCUGAGCGGCCUGGCCCAGAAGGACUUCCACGGGCACCCGGGCGUUACCGAGGAGCUGCUGCGGAGCCAGCUCUACCCCGAGGUGCCCCCGGAGGAGUUCCGGCCUUUUCUGGCGAAGAUGCGGGGGAUUCUUAAGUCUGUUGCAUCUGCAGACAUGGAUUUCAACCAGCUGGAAGCAUUCUUGACUGCUCAAACCAAAAAGCAAGGAGGAAUCACAUCUGAUCAAGCUGCUGUCAUUUCUAAAUUCUGGAAGAGUCAUAAGACAAAGAUCCGAGAGAGCCUGAUGAACCAGAGCCGCUGGGACAGUGGGCUUCGGGGCCUAAGCUGGAGAGUUGAUGGCAAAUCACAGUCGAGGCACUCAGCUCAGAUACACACCCCUGUUGCUAUAAUGGAGCUGGAAAUAGGGAAAAGUGGACAGGCAAUAAAAAUCUUUUAAAAACACACAAAAAAACUAAAAACUAAAUAUAGUGAGGAAAAUAUCCUGUUUUGGAUACUUGAUCAUUAAUUAUUUUGGAGACGGACUUAGAAAUGAAGAGAAUUUUUCCUCUUUCACAUUCCACCACAAAUAGAAAGCCUUUUGCACUCUUAAGGAUUAAGUGUCUGAGCUCAUUAUCCUGAAUAAAUGAAGGAAUCUGAAUUUCUGUGUUUGGAAUUUGAUGAGGCCGAGGUCAACCAAGUUCUGAAGAAGCUCUCAGAGGUAGAAGAAAGUAUCAGCACACUGAUGCAGCCAGCCUAGCUGAAAAUGGACUUGUUGAAGCAAAGGUGUUCAUGAUCUGUUUUUGUUUUUGUUUUUUAAUAUUAUUCACCCAUUAGUAUUAAAUCCUCAAAUUCAAAUUUG